rnacentral:rRNA from 1 species
CGGUGAUGCAGCUAACGCAUUAAACAUUCCGCCUGGGGAGUACGGUCGCAAGAUUAAAACUCAAAGGAAUAGACGGGGACCCGCACAAGUGGUGGAGCAUGUGGUUUAAUUCGAAGAUACGCGAAGAACCUUACCUAGCCUUGACAUAUUUUAGAACACUUUAGAGAUAGAGUGGUGCCUUCGGGAGCUAAUUUACAGGUGCUGCACGGCUGUCGUCAGCUCGUGUCGUGAGAUGUUGGGUUAAGUCCCGCAACGAGCGCAACCCUCGUCACUAGUUACUAACGGUUCGGCCGAGGACUCUAGUGAGACUGCCUUCGUAAGGAGGAGGAAGGUGAGGACGACGUCAAGUCAUCAUGGCCCUUACGGCUAGGGCAACACACGUGCUACAAUGGUUGGGACAAUGAGACGCAAUACCGCGAGGUGGAGCAAAUCUAUAAACCCAAUCUCAGUUCGGAUUGUUCUCUGCAACUCGAGAACAUGAAGCUGGAAUCACUAGUAAUCGUAGAUCAGCUAUGCUACGGUGAAUACGUUCCUGGGUCUUGUACUCACCGCCCGUCACACCAUGGGAGUUGAUUUCACCCGAAGCGGGGAAGCUAAACUGGCUACCCUCCACGGUGGAAUUAGCGACUGGGGUGAAGUCGUAACAAGGUAACCA